GGAGUGGUGGUUCAGUGGUAGAAUUCUCACCUUCUGUGCAGGGGGCCUGGGUUUGAUUCCCAGCCAGUGCA
rnacentral:tRNA from 1 species